rnacentral:rRNA from 1 species
CCAACGGGUGGCAGCAGGCGCGAAAACUUUACAAUGCUGGCAACAGCGAUAAGGGAACCUCGAGUGCCAGGUUACAAAUCUGGCUGUCGAGAUGCCUAAAAAGCAUUUCAUAGCAAGGGCCGGGCAAGACCGGUGCCAGCCGCCGCGGUAACACCGGCGGCUCGAGUGGUAACCGUUAUUAUUGGGUCUAAAGGGUCUGUAGCCGGCCGGAUAAGUCUCUUGAGAAAUCUGGCAGCUUAACUGUCAGGCUUUCAGGAGAUACUGGCUGGCGCGAGGGCGGGAGAGGUGAGAGGUACUUCAGGGGGAGGGGUGAAAUCUUGUAAGCCUUGAAGGACCACCAGUGGCGAAGGCGUCUCACCAGAACGGACCUGACGGCAAGGGACGAAAGCUAGGGGCACGAACC